UGCUAUCAAAAGUCAGCAACAUCGCGAUAUAAUCAGUUCAAAAUCUACAUACACCACGAUAUUCAACAAGAAACUCGAAAUAUAAUUAUAAAAUUUAAAAAUAAAUUGAAAAUAUGAUCACAAUAUUAACAAGUAAACUAGCCAUAUAAUUACAAAUUCUUUUAACAAUCAAUUAACAAUAUAUUUACAAAAUUUAACAAUCAAUUGACAAUAUAAUUACAAUAUUAACAAGUAAACAAACCAUAUACUUACAAUAUUAUGAUUAGUACUAUCCACAUGCUUCUUAACUAAAAGAGACACCAAUUAACUCAGAGAUAUAAAAAAUACAAGAAAAUAAGUUAUAACCUUGAGAUUUUAACACAGCAGCAACUCACUAUAAAUUCAAUAUAAUAUCAAAAUCUAAGUGACAAACAAAACAACUCACUAUAAAUUCAAUACAAUGUAAAAAUCUAAGUGACAAACAAAAGUGAAGCAAUUAAUAUCAUGGUGAAAUCUAAAUGAAUAUUUUAAUCACAACACAAAUUAAUUACGUAAACAACAAUAAUCUCAAAUGGAAAUUGGAAUUGAAAUAUUACCCCCACAGAACAUAUACACUACUGCAUCCAGUAAUUGUUGCAUAAUCAAAACAAUAUGGAAUCCGGCGAUGUCGCGACAUGAACAAUAUCAGAUCCAAACCUUGAAUCAAACUCAUAACCUACAUAAAAACAGACAGCAAUCCAAACAGAAUAGAAACACAAAGUUCACAUAUUCGAAAUCGAAAAAGCAGAGUUGAAUUAAAAAUGAGAAUUCAGAAUCGAAUUUUGCUGUAAGUUACUACACAAUGGUAUUGUUCAAAAGAGAUUCAAGCCCUCUUCUCAAGUUGAGUUAGCUCAAAAUCAACAUUAUGGUUCACCGAGAUUAUUUCGUAAGGCCGACACAGUUUUCAGAUCCACCAACAAGGGUAUCGUUCCCGCUCAAUUAAACUACUUAAAGACCAUCAAUCUAGACAAAUUCAUCCACAUCAAGAGGAUCGAAAUCAGAAGCAUUGAUCAUAUGAGCCAAUUAAACAUGAAACUCUUCUUCCUAUAAAAGAUUGAAAUCCAUCGCACCUCGAUGUCGUUGUUUGAACGGUUAUGAAUAACGGUUGGAUAGGGAGACAAUGAAAGACAAGGAAUAUGUUUCAAAAUUUAUUUCACGGCAGUUUGAAAGAAAUGGUAUGCGUUUGGUGGAUGGUUGAAGUGUCGAUGAAAUUGGGUCUGACAAAAAGGAUUGUAGACGUUUGGAAAGGGUGACGGAGUGUAACAAUGGCGGAGGGAGAUGUCGCACAGAGCACGAUGGUGUGUGGUUUGUUUGGAGGGUGCGGUUAUGAUGGGUUUCGCUGUAGCUUUUGUGUGGCUGAGAUGAAUCUCACAUGGUUUGGAAGGAGUUUUAAGAAAAAA
rnacentral:lncRNA from 1 species